AUGAAGGGAACAGAGGCAUUAAGCCUGGAAAAGUGACAAGGUAGUAUUUACGGUGUAUCAAGAGAAAGAGGAAAGAAAAGGAACAUUACAGGAUGUUCAGAGCUCGAGCUAGCCCCUUCUUCCUGUCCAGGAAACCCAGACCACUGAGAAAUGUUUCCAGCUAAUGGCUGUGGAGGUCCGAAUCUGGAGGAGAAAGCCUGGGGACCAAAGGGCAAACAAGAGAUGAUGACCAUGACUGAAGAAGUAGCAGCAUGACUGUGAAUGCAAGUGGGAUGCUCCAGCAGGCAGGUUGACCUGGGUAUCCAAGAUUGGAGCCAUGAUCAGCACUGCCUGAUAUUAGAUGAGUUUCAGAAGCCACCAUCACUCCUGUUUGCCUGCAGAAAGAAGUCACUGAAGAGAAGAGGUCAAACCGAGAGAGAAGGAAAGAGGCUGACUAUUGCCUUUUUAAUAUUAUCCGGUUCUAACUAUGUAGCCACAGCCAAUCAAAGGGACUCCUUGUAA
rnacentral:lncRNA from 1 species